GCCUUCUAUUGAAGAGGAACAGAUGGCUUACAAUGUUAUUCUUAAGAAUAAAGAGGUAAAUGUUCUAAAUUUAACUAAUAUUUUUCAUCUGUAGGAUGUAUUGUUUGGGAUAUCCUUUCCUGCUAGGGUUUAUGAUUUUCUAAAUUGACUUCUAUUUAAGCUUGAAAUUGAGAGAGCAAAUCUAUACACUCGACAUUAUAGUAUGAAUAUUAACACUAAACAUGUCAUAAGCUUGCAUUCUUAUAACUUGGUUAAAUAAUACCAAUAUGACAUGCUUGUACACAACAAUUCUGGUAAAUUUUACUUUAUAUAUGAAGCAUUGUAGAAUGAAAAAUGAAGCAUGAUUCCUUUUUUUCAUAUAUCUUCAUUCUCUGUUGCAAGUGUUAGUAAGUGUUUGUCAGUUUAUGCGUAUAUUGAUCAUAAUAUGGUUUUCAAGAAGAUGAAUAUUGGUGAUUUUGAGCUUGGAGAUUAUCUUGGUAUGGAUUGACAGGUUGCAGAAAUAGAUAGAUGGAUGGAACAAGAAACCAAAGCAGAAAAAACAUAUUCAGAAGCUUUUGUUACUUGGUGUAUAAUACUUCUUCACAGAAUAAUUUUCAUUGUUUUUGGUUUAUAUUCUUUCAUGAAUGUGCAAACUGGAUUUGCUUUUGUGUAGGUGCUGGAGAGUAGAUCAUGUAAAAUUUCUUUAUUUUUCACUGAAUUAUUGCCUUCAUUUAUAGUUUUCAGUCACAUUGUUGUGCUUCCUACUUAAAAAAUACCAUUACAACCUCCAACUUACUGCGUUUUGGAUAUAUUGAUGAUGGACAAUUGCAGAAUCAGAUGAUUAAAUGUAAAAUAAACGGGUUGCAUGAGAUUAUGUUUGAUGGUAACAUUUUAAUUACAUACAUAAAGUGAACAGUGAGUACAUUCUUGUGAUGAAAAGGAGAUAAACUUUGUGAAAUAUAAGUAGAAGUUUUUAAAUAUAGGUUAAAAGUAAGGACAAUUAGGUAAUUUAAUGCAUCUUUUGAUAAACAGUUCUUUUUGUAGGUAAUAACAGUGAUUAUACGAUGUCGGACGUGCAGGGUUAACUCGAACUUGUAGAGAAUCGUUGUUGUGCUCACCUUUGCUUACACAGCCUCGCGUCUACCUCAUCCUCUUUGUAAUAUUUUGCUUUUCAGAUUUCUUAAUUUGAAGCCUUCAAAGGUGUCACCGCUGCUCCACCAUACCGCUGCCGCACACCAUUGUUUCUCUUCGUCGGCUAAUCAAUAUCAGGUUUUUAAUACUUUUUCCUGCACGUUGUCGUUUCUCUUUUGUUGUAGACAAUUUCAUGUUUAGGUCAAUUUUGCAUUUAUUAUAAUGGCUCCACUUUAACAUCUUUUUUCCUGGUCAUGGCUGCAUUUUGAAUAACUUCAUGAAAGUCGUCAGAUAUUUUACUUCGAAGGAGUCGAUUCCGAUUAUGUUUGAGAACCUGAGGAAUCUUAAGUUUAAGAGUUCAGAGAGCAACUCAUUCACUUGCAGGUGCUUAAUAAUGUUUAAUUUUAUUGGAUAAUAUUCCAGUUAGCGGUGGCAUUGGGUUUGUGGGUUGAAUUGAUGAGCUUGUGUCAAAUACAUCAACCCGUAUAACCCAAAUACAGUAUUUAACGAGUAUGAAGAUCACAACUAUGCUAGGACUGAGUAUUGCAAUAGAAUCGGUUAGUAGUUUUAUGUUGUUCAUAUUCACACACACUCAUUAAUUUCUCUUACCAUCCCUCUCAUAGUCUCAUUUAUAUAUACAAACAUCUAUCUGUGUGUAUAUAUAUUUCUAUCUAAUGAUAAUCUAUUGGGUUUCUAAAUUGUUGAAUGUUAUUUUUAUUAUAAGUUUGUAUCAUGUUGCUUUAUUUGAGUAAUACUUGAGUUUUCAGGUGGAACUUAAAGAAGGUUCUUUAGACUAGUUCACAAAUGAUAUGGAGCCCUUCUUGAGGAAGUAAGGGAUGCUUGUACGGUUGUGUGAAGGUGUGGUGGAACAUGUCGGAUACUUUGUUGUAUGUGAGGAGGGUAAUUCCAUAUCGCCUGAGGUGUCUCACAUAUUGAUGAAGAUGGCUACAUCACUUGAGACACGUUGUGUAAGUUAUAUUAAAUUGUGUGCUCUAGCUUUAAAGUAGUUAUAUGACAUGGUUGUUUUCGUGAGACACGGUGCGUGUUUGGACACCUUUUAUUGCUGGAAAUAUGUAAUAGAAUAUGCAAAUCCCACCAGAAAUAUAGUAAUUCUACUCC